GAAGGUCUGGCUGGCACACACGCACGCCCGAACCCUGGGAAGGCCUUUUCCUAAACUUCAGGAUUUUGGCGGGCGCGUGCAGAGACCUACUCCCCUGUGACCAAGGAGCACAAGCCUCCUCACAUGAAACCAAAGGAAAUCUUAAAAUUUCAGAUGUACUCUAGGAAGCUGGUUCACCUCAGUAUACUUGGGGGAGUUUCAUCAGUCAGUUGAAGUUGUAUAAUUGAUUGUGCUGAUAUCAGAAUUGAAAUAAGAUAU